UACGUAGGGCGCAAGCGUUGUCCGGAAUCAUUGGGCGUAAAGAGCGUGUAGGCGGCCCGGUAAGUCUGUUGUGAAAGUCCAGGGCUCAACCCUGGAAUGCCGAUGGAUACUGCCGGGCUAGAGUUCGGAAGAGGCGAGUGGAAUUCCUGGUGUAGCGGUGGAAUGCGCAGAUAUCAGGAGGAACACCUAUAGCGAAGGCAGCUCGCUGGGACGACACUGACGCUGAGACGCGAAAGCGUGGGGAGCGAACAGG
rnacentral:rRNA from 1 species